rnacentral:rRNA from 1 species
ACGAACGGCUGGCGGCGUGCCUAAUACAUGCAAGGUCGAACGGUCUUUCUAUGGAAGCUUGCUUCCACUGAGAAGAUAGUGGCGAACGGGUGAGUAACACGUGGGUAACCUGCCCAUAAGAGGGGGGAUAACAUCCGGAAACGGGUGCUAAUACCGCAUAGUUUUCUUGAUCGCAUGAUCGGGAAAGGAAAGACGGCCUUUGUGCUGUCGCUUAUGGAUGGACCCGCGGCGUAUUAGUUAGUUGGUGAGGUAACGGCUCACCAAGACGAUGAUACGUAGCCGACCUGAGAGGGUGAUCGGCCACAUUGGGACUGAGACACGGCCCAAACUCCUACGGGAGGCAGCAGUAGGGAAUCUUCCGCAAUGGACGAAAGUCUGACGGAGCAACGCCGCGUGAGUGAAGAAAGGUUUUCGGAUCGUAAAACUCUGUUGUCAGAGAAGAACAAGUUGGAGAGUAACUGCUCCAGCCUUGACGGUAUCUGACCAGAAAGCCACGGCUAACUACGUGCCAGCCGCGGC